rnacentral:tRNA from 2 species
AGCCACGUAGCUCAGUGGUAGAGCGCCCAGGUUUCUUCCCUGGGAGGUCGGUGGUUCGAAUCCACCCGUGGCUG